GGGCAUUUGGUUUAGUGGUAUGAUUCUUGCAUCGGGUGUGAGAGGUCUUGAGUUCAAUUCUCGGAAUGCCCC
rnacentral:tRNA from 1 species